GUCCCCGUAGCUCAAUUGGAUAGAGUGUCGGCCUCCGAAGCCGAAGGUUGCUGGUUCGAAUCCAGCCGGGGAUA
rnacentral:tRNA from 1 species